rnacentral:rRNA from 1 species
UACAGAGGGUGCAAGCGUUGUUCGGAAUUAUUGGGCGUAAAGGGUGCGUAGGCGGUUUGACAAGUCUGAUGUGAAAUUCUGGGGCUCAACCCCAGCGCUGCAUCUGAAACUGUAUCUCUUGAGUGCUGGAGAGGAAAGCGGAAUUCCUAGUGUAGCGGUGAAAUGCGUAGAUAUUAGGAGGAACACCAGUGGCGAAGGCGGCUUUCUGGACAGUAACUGACGCUGAGGCGCGAAAGCGUGGGGAGCAAACAGG